rnacentral:rRNA from 1 species
CGAAAGUCUGACGGAGCAACGCCGCGUGAGUGAUGAAGGUUUUCGGAUCGUAAAGCUCUGUUGUUAGGGAAGAACAAGUACCGUUCGAAUAGGGCGGUACCUUGACGGUACCUAACCAGAAAGCCACGGCUAACUACGUGCCAGCAGCCGCGGUAAUACGUAGGUGGCAAGCGUUGUCGGAUAUUGGGCGUAAGGGCUCGCAGGCGGUUUCUUAAGUCUGAUGUGAAAGCCCCCGGCUCAACCGGGGAGGGUCAUUGGAAACUGGGGAACUUGAGUGCAGAAGAGGAGAGUGGAAUUCCACGUGUAGCGGUGAAAUGCGUAGAGAUGUGGAGGAACACCAGUGGCGAAGGCGACUCUCUGGUCUGUAACUGACGCUGAGGAGCGAAAGCGUGGGGAGCGAACAGGAUUAGAUACCCUGGUAGUCCACGCCGUAAACGAUGAGUGCUAAGUGUUAGGGGGUUUCCGCCCCUUAGUGCUGCAGCUAACGCAUUAAGCACUCCGCCUGGGGAUACGGUCGCAAGACUGAAACUCAAAGGAAUUGACGGGGGCCCGCACAAGCGGUGGAGCAUGUGGUUUAAUUCGAAGCAACGCGAAGAACCUUACCAGGUCUUGACAUCCUCUGACAACCCUAGAGAUAGGACUUCCCCUUCGGGGGCAGAGUGACAGGUGGUGCAUGGUUGUCGUCAGCUCGUGUCGUGAGAUGUUGGGUUAAGUCCCGCAACGAGCGCAACCCUUGAUCUUAGUUGCCAGCAUUCAUUGGGCACUCUAAGGUGACUGCCGGUGACAAACCGGAGGAAGGUGGGGAUGACGUCAAAUCAUCAUGCCCCUUAUGACUGGGCUAACACUGCUACAAUGGACAGGAC